rnacentral:rRNA from 1 species
GACAGAGGUGCCAAGCGUUAGGCGGAAUCACUGGGCCUAAAGCGUGUGUAGGCGGAUGCCUAAGUACCUUGUGAAAUCCCACGGCUCAACCGUGGAACUGCUUGGUAUACUGGGUGUCUUGAGCCAUCUAGGGGCUACCGGAACAAAUGGUGGAGCGGUGAAAUGCGUAGAUAUCAUUUGGAACGCCAAUGGUGAAAACAGGUAGCUGGGGAUGUGCUGACGCUGAGACACGAAAGCCAGGGGAGCAAACGGG